GCCGGGCAUGGUGGUGGGUGCCUGUAAUCCCAGUUACUCAGGAGGCUGAGGCAGGAGAAUCGCUUGAACCUGGGAGGUGGAGGUUGCAGUGAGCCGAGAUCGUGCCACUGCACUCCAGCCUAAGUGACAGAGCGAGACUCUGUCUCAA
rnacentral:SRP_RNA from 1 species